rnacentral:rRNA from 1 species
GGCUACCGCUAUUGGAAUUCGAUUAAGCCAUGCGAGUCGAGAGAUUUCGGAUCUCGGCAGACGUCUCAGUAACACGUGGAUAAUCUGCCCUUGAGUGGGGGAUAAGCUUGGAAACCUGAGUAUAAUACCCCAUAGGCCCAAGAUGCUGGAAUGCUUUUGGGCUGAAAGCUCCGGCGCUCAAGGAUGAGUCUGCGACCUAUCAGGCUGUAGUGGGUGUAACGGACCCACUAACCUUCGACGGGUACGGGCCUUGAGAGAGGUUGCCCGGAGUUGGACUCUGAGACACGAGUCCAGGCCCUACGGGGUGCAGCAGGCGCGAAAACUUCACAAUGUGGGAAACCACGAUGAGGGAAUUCCAAGUGCCAGCACUUUGUGUUGGCUGUUCAUCUGCCUAAAAAGCUGAUGAAGUAAGGGCCGGGUAAGACGGGUGCCAGCCGCCGCGGUAAUACCCGCGGCCCGAGUGGUGGCCGUUAUUAUUGAGCCUAAAGCGUCCGUAGCCGGUCCAGUAAAUCUCUGGGUAAAUCGGGCAGCUUAACUGUCCGAAUUCCGGAAAGACUGCUGGACUUGGGACCGGGGGAGGUUGGAGGUACUCCUGGGGUAGGGGUGAAA